AAAAAAAUCACGGCAACGCCAUUACCCGUACGAACGCACGGCUAUUAUACUAGUUUCUUAAGAAAAUCGCUUCGCAAAGCACGAUCACAGUCUUCAAGCUUCGUCUCUCAGUCUCCAAGCACAUCACGCUCGUGGGUCUGUUCCUCUCUGAAUCUCUCGUCGAUUCUCUCGUGAAGCUUUUAGGACGAGGAGUCUUAGCUGCUGUGAUCGUUAGGAGGUGGCAAUGGAGAUUUUCUUCUCCCUAUCUAUUUAUUUAGUUCUUGUUUAAUUGCUUAGCAAUGCGCUACUCUGAUUCUGUAACACUACGGGUUAGGGUUGACAUUCAGUUGUUUUUUUUCUUCUGUUUUUCUUAUGGAACUCGAGAACUAUGAGUCUCCUAGUUAUGAUUUUCUCUUUGGUUUAAUAAGUUCCAAAAACAA